GAUGAACGCUGGCGGCGUGCCUAAUACAUGCAAGUCGAGCGAACAGACGAGGAGUUUGUUCCUCUGACGUUAGCCGCGGACGUGUGUGUAACACGUGUAUAACCCACCUAUAAGACGGGGAUAACUUCGGGAAACCGGAGCUUAUACCGGAUAAUAUAUUGAUCCGUAUGGUUCAAUAGUGAAAUACGGUUUUGCUGUCACUUAUAGAUGGUUCCGCGCCGCAUUAGAUAGUUGGUAAGGUAACGGCUUACCAAGGCAACGAUGCGUAGCCGACCUAAGAGGGUGAUCGCCAACACUGGAACGGAGACAGGGUCAAGACUCCUACGGGAGGCACCAGUAGGGAACCUUCGGCAAUGGGCGAAAGCCUGACGGAGCAACGCGGCGUGAGUGAUGAAGGUCUUCGGAUCGUAAAACUCUGUUAUUAGGGAAGAACAAAUGUGUAAGUAAAUAUGCACGUCUUGACGGUACCUAAUCAGAAAGCCACGGCUAACUACGUG
rnacentral:rRNA from 1 species